rnacentral:tRNA from 1 species
GCAUUUAUAGCUUAGCGGUCGAAAGCAGUGGGCUCAUAAUCCAUUUUUUGAAAAAUAAACAAAACACCAAUGGUUCGAAUCCAUUUAGAUGCA